rnacentral:rRNA from 1 species
GUUUGAUCCUGGCUCAGAACGUACGCUGGCGGCACGCCUAACACAUGCAAGUCGAACGAAGUAGCAAUACUUAGUGGCAGACGGGUGAGUAACAUGUAGGUAUCUGCCCUUUGGCCUGGAAUAACACGAGGAAACUUGUGCUAAUACCGGAUAAGUCUUUACGGAGAAAGCUUUAUGCACCAUUGGAUGAGCCUGCACUUGAUUAGUUUGUUGGUGGGGUAAUGGCCUACCAAGACUGUGAUCAAUAGCUGAUUUGAGAGGAUGAUCAGCCACAUUGGGACUGAGACACGGCCCAAACUCCUACGGGAGGCAGCAGUGGGGAAUCUUGCACAAUGGAGGAAACUCUGAUGCAGCGAUGCCGCGUGAGUGAAGAAGGCCUUUGGGUUGUAAAGCUCUUUCGUCGGGGAAGAAAAUGACUGUACCCGAAUAAGAAGGUCCGGCUAACUUCGUGCCAGCAGCCGCGGUAAUACGAAGGGACCUAGCGUAGUUCGGAAUUACUGGGCUUAAAGAGUUCGUAGGUGGUUGAAAUAGUUGGUGGUGAAAUCCCAGAGCUUAACUCUGGAACUGCCAUCAAAACUUUUCAGCUAGAGUAUGAUAGAGGAAAGCAGAAUUUCUAGUGUAGAGGUGAAAUUCGUAGAUAUUAGAAAGAAUACCAAUUGCGAAGGCAGCUUUCUGGAUCAUUACUGACACUGAGGAACGAAAGCAUGGGUAGCGAAGAGGAUUAGAUACCCUCGUAGUCCAUGCCGUAAACGAUGUGUGUUAGACGUUGGAAAUUUAUUUUCAGUGUCGCAGGGAAACCGAUAAACACACCGCCUGGGGAGUACGACCGCAAGGUUAAAACUCAAAUGAAUUGACGGGGACCCGCACAAGUAGUGGAGCAUGUGGUUUAAUUCGAAGAUACGCGCAGAACCUUACCAACACUUGACAUGUUCGUCGCGACUCUAAGAGAUUAGAGUUUUCGGUUCGGCCGGACGAAACACAGGUGCUGCAUGGCUGUCGUCAGCUCGUGUCGUGAGAUGUUGGGUUAAGUCCCGCAACGAGCGCAACCCUCACUUUUAGUUGCCAUCAUUAAGUUGGGCACUCUGAAAGAACUGCCAGUGAUAAGCUGGAGGAAGGUGGGGAUGACGUCAAGUCCUCAUGGCCCUUACGUGUUGGGCUACACACGUGCUACAAUGGUAUCUACAACAGGAAGCAAGACUGCGAAGUUAAGCAAAUCCCUAAAAGAUACCUCAGUUCGGAUUGCACUCUGCAACUCGAGUGCAUGAAGCUGGAAUUACUAGUAAUCGUGGAUCAGCGUGCCACGGUGAAUGCGUUCCCGGGUCUUGUACACACCGCCCGUCACACCAUGGGAGUUGGUUCUACCUUAAGGCAAGGCUUCAAACCCUUGACCACGGUAUAGUCAGCGACUGGGGUGAAGUCGUAACAAGGUAACC